rnacentral:tRNA from 1 species
GGGAAAUUAGUCCAAAGAAGACACUUGAUUUCGGCUCAAGAAAUUGGGGUUCAAAUCCCCAAUUGCCCU